AUGUUAGAAGGUGCAAAAUCAAUAGGUGCCUGCUACAAUUGCUUCAGCGAGAGCUGCUGUUGGUAUUGGAAACGUAUUCAAUUCAUUAAUUCAUUCCGUGGAAAGAAAUCCAUCAUUGGCAAAACAGUUAUUCGGAUAUGCAAUCCCGGGCUUUGCUCUAACCGAGGCUAUUGCCUUGUUCACAUUAAUGAUGGCCUUUUUGAUUCUAUUUGUUUUCUAAGUUUAUCCUUUUGA